GUAAAGCACAUUCAAUGAAGCUACUAAAUUGAUAUUCACCCAGUAACUUUCCAGCUAACAAGUCCACCCAAAACACAGGCAGGCUCUUGCUGUGCUGAAGGAGCUGCAGAACACUAGACCAAACAGUGGUUGGACUUUUCUUUCUGUGUGGGCUCAAAGUCAGAGCUGUUUCCUUUCCUGAUGAAGGAAUCCUUCUGGGAAUCUUAGCUCCUGUUUGCAGUGGAAAGCCAACAGAUACAGGGGUGCAUACAAAGGGUGCAGAAAGAGUCUCACCAAGCUCCAAACAGGUGCCCAAUGUAAGGUCUCAAUAUUCAUUCAGGAGGUGUUGGAAAAAAUAAGGACAUCCAAAUAGCUCUCCAUCUAUGCCAUCUCAAAUCAAGAGAGAUUAAAUGCUGUUUCCAAGUCUAUUUCUCAGCCCUGGGUUACUGAGAUGAGCCGACUGGAUAUCUAUGUUCAGUUCAAGCCAGGUGAGAUCAGUUUUUAUGUGUUGCAACAGCUCAGGUUACAGGGAAGUUCAGGGUAUUAAAAAGUAGCUUUUGGUUUACUAUGAAGAGGUCAAAAUGGGCUCAAUAUUUAACCAGGAAAACAUGUGGUUUCCAAUAAUGGGUUUUGCACUGGAGCUGAAAUUAUUUGAGUGGAAAGUGUGUGAGUCACACUGCUUUAAAAAACAGAAGGUCUCUAAAUGUGAUUAAGUUAUCUGUAUCCACAUUUGCUAAACUCCAAGCCACAAAGCAAAAAAACACCCUGUAGUUUUGGUUUCUAAACAGAAAGGAUGCAGAAAAGAGCAAGUUUGGAGAAAGUAAUACUUCUCUGAGUCCUUCUGCAUCACCUCACACACUGCAGCUUUCUGUGUAUGGGAUAUGUUUCACUCCAAGCUUCUGAGGCAAGGGGGCUCUAAAGGUCUGAAAUAUCAUUCUCUGGGAAUUAAAACAGCCCCUCUUCCUACAAUAAAGGAUGGCCUCCAGAUAGCUGCCAACUGCAGAAGCUCAUUUGUGCCUCUGUAGAGGAAGGAGAAACACUGUUUGCAAACAUACUCCAAAGGUUCCCCAAAUUUGUUUGAACAGAAGAGAAGGUUUGAGACAGAGUUCCUGACAUUUAAUGUUUGAAAAUAGGGCAGAUCUGUGAUUUUUAGAGUGAACUCCCUGACACCAGUACUAAAGAAGUCAUAUACCUGGGCAGUGUCAUCAAGAGAUAUGGGGCUGAUCUGUCUGGAAAUGGGCUCGUGGGUUGCUUUGGACAUUGAUUUUAGGACAGAGCUCUUUGACUUUUCAGAGACCUAAAAUCCCAAUACCUGUGUGUCUCAAGAAAGUGCUGGGAAGGCAGGGAAAGGCUGACCUAAAGCAUUGAGGAGUUCUAUUAAGUAACUCAGCAGUUUUAGUGUCCCUCCCUGGUAAUGCCAGAUGAGUAAGGAUAUAUUUGCAUGGAUAUUUUGGGCUUACUUUGGCAAGUACAAAACCAACUGGAGAGUAUCAGGAAGAGUUGUCAAAUGAUUAAUAAAUUAAUAGAUUGGGAGCACAAAAGCAAACUGGCAAACUGAAUGAUGUUUUUUAUAGAAUUUCCUGCCCUGGGAGCUACUAUUGGUGCCUUAAAAAGCCAGGAGGAUGCUGUGCUGAUGGUUUUCUACAUAUUCAGUGAUAUGGCAAGUGUAUGUUUCAUUUUGCCUUUGUUCAUGUUUCUGUGGGACUUAAUAGCUUCUAAUCAUCUCUAUCCAUGUUAGAUUUGGCUCCUUUACCUGAGGAGCCACUCAUUAUAUGCCUGCAGGUUCUUAGCAGACCAGUUUCUGGAGAACCUUCCAGGGCUUGCCUGGUGUCACAGGUGAGUCACUGCAAACCGUGGCCUGUUUCUUCUGCAGGACAGGACAGACAUUACUUUGAAAGUGUUGUAACAUUAAAAAAAACCACUUAUUCAAAACUUCUUGCAUUCUGAAAAGGUUUUGGGUUUUAGUGAUUUAAUAAAAAAUCCUGUCUGGUUUACAUGUGGCCUUGCUAUCUUCCCAGUAGUUCUCCCAGCAGCCCUGAUGGGAUUAACUUGAAUAACUUACCCUCCUCCUGGUCAAAUACCUUAUUCCAGUGACUGAGGACAGGUCAGCACUGUGUUUUGAGUAAAGAGUCCCACGGAUUGGCCCCAAAGAAACCAUGAGCUGGGAGAUGAACAUUAAUACACAGUGUGGCUUCUUUCUGACUAGGUGUUUUUUGAUCUACAGAUAUCCCUGGGGCUUGUUAGACUGGCACCAUGUAUUUUCAAUAACCUGCCUCUGGAAAGGCACAUUCCCAGAGUGUUAAAAGGCUGAUGGCAUCCAGCGGUGAUGGACAAGGCAGCAAUAUGUGGCUGGGAAAACACUCCAUUCUCCAUGCUUUUCUCCCAAAGUUCCUUCUUACACACCAAGACUGUUGGUGGAUCUUUUGUACCAGACGCUGCUAUGGAUGGCACGGGGACACGGGUGUCAAGACGAGGUUCUUAAUGCAGUAAUAAACUAUCCAGUCUGACUGCAGCUAUUUAAUGGUUGGAGCAGAAAGCCUUGUUUCUGGAGGAAAGGCUCUUUCAGCUCCCUAAUUAGCUUUGUUUUGAAAAGUUUUGGCAUGCAAAUGACAUGCCAUAAAUCACACAGGCUUUAAUGAGAAGUAAUUUGUCUUCUGGUUUCUUAAAGCUGCUCUCAGUUCAGACAGGAGGAGCUUUCCCUCCCUUUCUUUCCACCCUGCCACACGAAACCUGCAGGUGAUGGAGUAUCUUGUGCAAGGCUGUGGCGACAGCGUCCUGUCUCACCCUCUCCCAAUGCUUCCAGCUGCUUUCAUCCCCAACUGCUACUCACGCCGCUUUAUGUGUUCUGGGCUGUGCCCACACACAGAAGAAUAAGGAGCUCGCUUUUAAAAUCAACUGAAAGCAAAGAUUUCACACCUCCAAAUCAGGAUGGCUUGUGCUUUGUGGAGCCAGAUUAUCAGCUGUGGGGACAUGAACUGACAAGGGAAAACUGUGGAGUUUGGAGCAAGCUAAGGCUGCAGACUCCUAAAGAAAGUUGCUGAAAUAAUAUGGUAAUUUAUGCAAGAGCAUGGCACACAGGGUCCUGCCUAUGCAUCAGAAAAGGGCCACUCGGACUGCUGAUUCCAGCAGAAACACACAAUGUGAUCAGCAGCACUUUUGUACAAAAAAAAAAACAACCCAAACUUGGUGUCUCUCUCCUCCUUGCAGAUGCAUGUGCAGAGUGGGGGGUCCACCCCACCAAACACCAAGAGCAAGAGACAAGUGUGGGUCUCCAUUUCCUGACAGCAGGAACCAGACUCCCUGUUCCUGCAUGUGCAAAGACAGGAGUUCCUUGGCUCCUUUUAGACUUGAAGGCCAAGUGUACUUUUCCAAACCUUUCACAAAUGUGAGCAAUUAAAAAAAUAGACCCAAGAAACCCCUCAACUGCUGGUAAAGAAAACAUUGCUAGUUGAAGGGAUAUUUGUCUCAGCGUGCUCCAAGCAGCUUCCACCAGCAAAAUCUGAUCUUCCCUGUUCAUCUCAGAGGAAAGUUAUUUGGACUCUAGAAAUGGUGGCUGGUCUCUUCCCCCCUUCAAACAAUCUUCAUCCUGCUGCUGCACUGAAAACCUCUUCUUUUAAGGGAGUUCUGUCUUGAUAACAUUCACUGGGGCAAAGGGAUGCAAUGGCUCCUACUGGCACCUCUUGGGACCCAAAGCAUAUAUUUAGCUUCUCAGUUAGCUCAGGCUGACACAGACAAGGACCUUUUCAUAUCUGAUGUCUGCACAUAGACAUAGCUGACUUGAGGGGUUGUGUGGUGGAAGCAAAAUUGAACUAUUUUAUCCUUACUUUUGCAUCCACAAAAUUAAUUUGAUUCCUGUCUCCCACGCCCGAAGUGCCAAGGCAGUGUGUAAAAAUCUCCAGAUCUGCCUAAAGCUGCUUGUACCUUCACUGCUGUUAAUUCUGCUCUCAAGAGACUUUCCUAGGGGUCAGGCUCACACCAGGCAAAGAGUACAUCUUUCAGUAAGGGACAGAAACCAAAAGCUUAUCAAUCAGUCAGUGAAUAAGAGCCCCUUUGAAUUGGCUACAAUAUCCAAACAAACAAAAAUAAUCACAGUAUUAUAGAAUCCUGUUACAUUAAAAAAAUCAUGAGACCUAGUUGGACUGGAAGGAACCUACAGGAUUCUGAAAAUCCCUCUUGCUUGACUUUCUCACCCCUUCUUAUCUGAAUUCCCCUGGGAAGAAAGAGGAGACUAGGACAAAUCCCAACCCCAGGGUAUGUCUUGGCACAGUGCAAACUGUGAUGAGAGUUUGUGAAUUCUCCACCUCCCCUCUCAACCCUCCAAAAGUGGGACUGGGUAAAACAGUGAGCUGUACUGGAAAGAACCCACCUUCCAGCAAUGAGAACCAUGACAGGGGUGUAAUUCAGGGCUCUGCUGGCCACUGGUGCUUGAGGGAACAUACAUCUGACCAGCCAAUCUACAUCCAGAGGAAUUUCUGGGAAGGAUAUUGCAGUGUUCUAGCUUGCAAGUUGAACCUAGAGACGACCUGCUACCAAGCCUUUUUUCAAGUAUUUUCAUGUAUUAACAAGAGUAAUUUAUUAUUUGAGAGGUGUUUGUUGACCUGAAUUUUCCUGGUGCUCUCUAUGGUAACCUGUUCUGGCACAGUUCUUUAACUUUUUCUGACCAAUAAAUUUUCUGUUUCCUCAUGCACAUGUUAGUACAAAUACAAGAGAUAAUGGGUCAGAAAAGGCAGUAAUUCUCACAGGAACAGACAGCUAUGGUUUCCUCCUUUGGUGCUGGGCACAAUGGAUUCCUCUAGGCAGAACCAUCUGCUACAGAACCACACCCAGAAUUUUCUUGUGAAGUUGUUGACAGUCUUAGUAAAACAGGAAAGUUGCUUGCUGGAAAGUCUGUACAGGCUUAACGGUGCCAGGCAUUUGGACAGCUGCAGAAGCUGGCUUUUACCAUCAAAGUGGCUCAGAAAACCAGUUGCUUGAGUAGAUACUCAUGCUCAAUGUGGAGGGUGAGGCUCAUGAUCCUACAAGUGCUCAAGGCCACACAGAUACCUCCCACAGCAGAGAAGGAUUUAUGUAGUUUAUUUCCUAUAUGGAGAAGAGCCUUUAUGCCAAAGAAAUGUUAUGUUUUCCUGGGAUCCCUUUGAAGUAAACUCUGAAAAUCUGUCAGCUGAUUUGACAGGUAGUUCACAGAAAGGUGAUGUUGAGAACCCAUCUGUCCCAGCCCAAAGCUGCUGUCUGUCACUGCUAUCCCACAUACCAGCAGGGAGCCAAGAUCUCGAGGAGCAUCCAAUUCAAUACCCAGUACACCUGCCAGGACCCAAUCAUGUAUUGAGAUGUGCAGAACUUCUGAGCUCACCAGAGACUUUCUGGGCCUGUCAUUAGGACCUAUGGGUAACUUCUCUUCUGCAUAGUGCUAAAAAAAUUGCCUCAUGGUUUCUCUGGAAAAGAACUGGAGUGGCUUGAGCGCUGCCCUUAGGCUGAGUUGCACCAGUGUGAGCAGAAACAAAAAUGCAUGUGUGUUGUAGCCAAUUUAGCUUUUGGUGCAAACAUAAAUGGGUACAUGGGUUCUGAUUCAGGAGGGAAGAGCUGUCUCAAGUCAUUACAUUCAAAUUACCACUGUUUUCUCUGAAAGAUACGCAAUCAUUGCAGAAAUCUAAUCAUGCACCCACUUACAUCUGUAGGUGCUUAAAUAACCACAUAAAUAAGAUUCAGGCUCAAGACAGAUAGAUCUGGAGCCAGUUUGGUCUGGCGCCUAAGUACCAAAUCUUCUAUGAUAACUGAAUGUGAACUCCCACGCCCCCCAGGGGCUCUUGGAAAUUCCAGCGCCUGCAGAAAGUCACUGACACCAUGCAGGAAGAGGCCAAGCACUUCCAUUAAGUAGUAGGAAAUCUAUACAAGGAUCUACCUUCUGCAGAUCUACCUUGUGUUUGUCUCAGGUUUUAUGCUCUCUCCUAUUACUACUGUCUUAGGCUGCUUUAAAUAACACAAAACCAGUGCUAGCCAGGGUCUUGCUUCUCAGGUGCUUCUUUCUACACAAGGGUCACAGCAGAGCUUGUUGCUGUUGCAGAUUCUUUCUCUUUAUCCUGGGAAACUUUAUCCAUUAGGAAAGGUUGGCAGAAUUCUGAUCUGUGAACUGUGAGUGCUGACAUUAGAGGCAAGGGAGUGAUUUUGAGAGGUCAGUGAAGUGCAAGACAUGAGUGUGCUGGCAGCUUCUCUUGAUCAGCCGAGACAUCUCUGCCCUGCCUUGUGUCACCUGUUUAUGCCACUGUCAGAUGGGGUAUGGGGCCUGUCGGAGACGUGAUAAAAUGUUUUCUCCACAGAACAGACAGGCACAGCUAAGUCUGUGUGAAGGCCCAAGAGAGUCGCUGUGAAACACAGACCUGGCAAUCUUAGAUUGUUCGCUAAGAACAGAUUGCAAUUUUCAGCCAAUAAAUUUUUAAUAGUAUCGAUGUAACUAAAUAGAAACACUGGCUUGCAGACAAAGGGCUCUUAAGAUUAAUUACUGAUCUCUUCUUGAUGUUCAGAGAUGCUUCUCAUAGGUGACGUGUAAAGCAUGUUUCUUAGGAGCAAUGGUAAGCCUUUGCACAGGGCUGGCAUCAGUCAUGCAAGCCCUUCCCUGUGUGGUACCAAGGGGUUUGAACAGCACACUCAGCUCAUGCUGGCCUUCUCAUGGCAUGAAAAGUUACCUUCAUGCCCUUGGUGUCACCGCUGAACCUAUUAUUCAGUUUAGCACUAGGUACAUAGGACAUUCCUGACUUGGUGCCAGAGAGAAGUCCCAGGCAUAUUUAACUUCCUAAUGUGCCACCACAGCUUGGGGCCUGGUCGUACAACAGCAUCUAAAGCAAUGGCCCUGCCCCAUGGACCCUCUCUGUACAGUCUGCAGCUAAGGCAGGGAAUAUCUGGCAGAAACAGGUAUCAGAGAAGAAGAAGAAGCAGUAAGACACAGUGUCGUGACUCUUGGGUCACCUGGUCAUUGUCAGAAGCUGGAGGAAGAAGAGAGACAAACAGCUGAUAUUUAUUGUAUGUCACCUAAAUUCAAGGCAAGGGAACUAGUUUUUGAUGCUAAUCAUACUAAGAGCUCAUUAACUAUAUGGAAGUUCAUUACUUUGCUGCAUUUCUUACUCUAUGUUUGUCCCUCAUAUUGGGCAAUUUGUUUGAGUUUCAGAAAUAAUCUCUCUCACUUUGUCAUCAUGGAUGCUUUCAAAACACCAUUGCUCUUGCACCUGACGUUUCUCCCCACCUGUGUUCUGUCUUCCCUGUGCUCCUGCCUGGAGAAGGUCCCUCAGUGGU